rnacentral:rRNA from 1 species
GGGCCCGCACAAGCGGCGGAGCAUGUGGCUUAAUUCGACGCAACGCGAAGAACCUUACCAAGGCUUGACAUACACCGGAAACGUCUGGAGAUAGGCGUUCCCUUGUGGCUGGUGUGCAGGUGGUGCAUGGCUGUCGUCGGCUCGUGUCGUGAGAUGUUGGGUUAAGUCCCGCAACGAGCGCAACCCUCGUUCCAUGUUGCCAGCGCGUUAUGGCGGGGACUCAUGGGAGACUGCCGGGGUCAACUCGGAGGAAGGUGGGGAUGACGUCAAGUCAUCAUGCCCCUUAUGUCCAGGGCUUCACACAUGCUACAAUGGCCAGUACAGAGGGCUGCGAGACCGCAAGGUGGAGCGAAUCCCUUAAAGCUGGUCUCAGUUCGGAUCGGGGUCUGCAACUCGACCCCGUGAAGUUGGAGUCGCUAGUAAUCGCAGA